CAGAAAUCUUGUCUAGUGCAAGUGCAACGAAGAUCUUACACACAUUGGUUCCUGACAUCCAAGGUGACCAAAGCUAAGCAAAGCUGUGUGGACCAAAAGAACUGCCUAGUGGAUAGCAGAUUUUUCACUCAUCUCUUCCUAACUCUCAAGGGGCUGUCACCACUGAGAAGAACGUCUUGGCAAAACCAAGGAAAACCUGCUGUGAGGAAGAAAAAUAGCCUGACAUGCAACAUCACCGACCAGGAGACUGAAGUUAAUGUACAGAGAUGGCUUCAGUUUGACCCUGAAAGAGACUGAGGAAGGAGGAAGCGGUUGAGGAGAAAAGAAGGGCUUGUUUAGGACAAUACUGA